rnacentral:Y_RNA from 1 species
GGCGGGUCUAAGGGCAGUGGUGCUUACAAAUGUAUUUGUUCAUUCUUCACUCCCAUUGCUUCACACUUGACUAGCCAAAA